UCCUAGCUAUGUUGCUUGGAGGUUUUUCCAAGAAAAUCUGUGAAGACAGCAUCAUGGACUACACUCUUGUCUAUAAAUUACAGCUUAUUUGAUUUGCUGUAUGAAAUUCAACAGAAAUAGAUGGUAGCUAUAAAAGAUGUGUGGGAAGCUCUUUUGCGAAUGCUAAAUCUGUGGUGUAACUAAAUUAUAGAUAAGCUAUUCUCA
rnacentral:ncRNA from 1 species